rnacentral:rRNA from 1 species
UACGAAGGGGGCUAGCGUUGCUCGGAAUCACUGGGCGUAAAGGGUGCGUAGGCGGGUCUUUAAGUCAGGGGGUGAAAUCCUGGAGCUCAACUCCAGAACUGCCUUUGAUACUGAAGAUCUUGAGUUCGGGGAGAGGUGAGUGGAACUGCGAGUGUAGAGGUGAAAUUCGUAGAUAUUCGCAAGAACACCAGUGGCGAAGGCGGCUCACUGGCCCGAUACUGACGCUGAGGCACGAAAGCGUGGGGAGCAAACAGG